rnacentral:lncRNA from 1 species
AGCUUUCCGCCUGGCGGGCCCCUUUUCCGAGCCUCACAGGACGCUGCCCCAGAGCCUGUGUAAUCAGUUAAAGCAGAAGCCCCAGAGCCCCAUGGCUUCCUAACUUCCAGUCCCCUUCCGACCUGGGGAAGCAGGUUCACCCAACCAGAGUCACCUCCACAAGGUAGUGGCUUGUGCUUUGUUUUGCUGAAAAAAUUCAAAUCCCGUUAAUGUUUUGGUUCUUUUUAAAGAACUUUGGACAAUAAUAUACGUUACAAGAGCUUUAUGUGGAGGAGGCACUAGAGAGGUGAGGUACCCUUCAUUGUAGGACAAGCCUUGGCUUUGAAGUGUGAAGAACAGGGGUUCGAAUCUCAGCUUUGCCCCUUGCUGUCCGUGUGACCUUAUUCUCUCGGAACUCCGAGUAACAGGCGAGGAUGACUCCUGGCUUGAGGGUCAGCAACGAAGUCCUUAAAGGAAUUUGCAUCGCGACCUCCCAGCUGACCGUGAACCUGAAGCCCGCAUCCCAUCGUGCACCCGCCGAGGGUUCACAUGAAAUCCACAACGGCAGUCACACCCUCAAACUGAAGCCGAUUUUCCGAUUUCGAAAGCCGGACUGCAGCAUUAAAAAAGGCUUUGUUUUCUUCUUCUUCUUCUCCCUCUCUUCCUCCUUCCUCCCCCGCCUCCCCGGGCCAAGUCUCUCCCAGCGCGCACACAAAAGAAGACCCCGAGGCCAAGGUACCGGAACCUGCGGGUUUGUUUACCACUUCGGGCGUCUCGGCGAGGUGCUGCCUGGCACCGCCACCUACCGGCGGGAGUCGGCCCUGCUCCCGGGAGCGGGCCAAAAACUGCCGGCCGAUGACCCAACGCCGCAGGCAUCUGAGGAUAACCUUUCCCCUUUCUUUCCAAGACCAAAUAAGGGGGCUCUUCCCUCAGCGUGCUGGGCCUGUGGCGGUUAGGCCAAGGGGCGUGGAUUGGAGAAUCCAGGAACGAGGCUGACAGUCCGCAAAACAACCGACCACAUUGUUCCUGUGGCGGCCGGCCUCCUCCCUCCUCCGGGCGGGCACGGCCCGUGCCCAGGCGGGGCGCUCCCUGCCUCCGCAGGCGUGGAGAGCCGGGCGGGCGACUGGGCAGGGCAGCCGUCCCGGGGACCCCGAACCCCAUCGGUAGCACUGCCAAGCCGCUGCCCCCACCCCAAGGAGUGGAGGGCAGGGUGCCCGCGGGCCCCGCCCCCUUGCCGCACUCCCCGCAGACCCUCAGGGCUGUGGGGCCGCAGAAGGGCGGGUCUCUGGGCCCUGGCGGGGCGGGGGGCGCAGACGGAGGGGAGCCAGGCCCCGCGGCCAGGCCUCGGAACCCUGGCAUCGCCCCCGAGGGAGGGAGUCACUGGUGGUUGACAGUGUUUGGUAACCACAGAAACCAAGAUUUGACCUAUAUUUUUGAAUAUGGCCUCAACUCUAGUUUUCCUUCUAGAAAUCAAAGGGAGAGAGUCUGACCUGACUUGCUGUUGAUUUUCCUCCUGCCCGGCGUUCCAGAAUGCCACCCAGAAGGUUGGGCGAGGCGGGAGACCUCACUGGCUGGUUCGCCGUGACUUGGAGGGUGACAGUGCUCUGGGCCAGGAGCAGUGGCUGUACACAUUCAGAGCCUCCUACCAACCCCAGGUCCUCCAUGACGGUGGGGAUAUUUCUGGAGGGAAAUUGGAUGAUUUUUACCAGGAUUUUAAAUGUUUACCAUUUAACUACUUCCUCCCAUUUCUAAGUUUUAUUCUAAGUAAGUAAAGAGAAUAUGAAUUCCGCUGAUGGUCACAGCCCUGGUAAUGUUGCCAACAACAGUUGGCCUUAACUGAACAUUUACUAUGUGCUGGAAACUGUUAUAAAUGUUUUAUAAAUAUCUACUUACAACAUUCUGCUGCAGUAGGUAUUCUUAAUACCCUUGUUUUAUGGAGGAGGAACCCGCAAUCAAAAGUUAGGUUUUCACUCAAAAUCACCCAGCUGGGGAGUGGUAGAGGCAGGAUUUAUGCUUGGACUGUGGAGCUCCUGAGUCUGUGCCCUUGACCGCAACACUAAAUGUUUAUCAAUGGGGAUUUGAUUAAUUUAGAGUACAUCCGUAUAAUGGAAUACUCUCCAGCCACUUAAAUAGUGAUGUAGAUUGGGAAUAAUUGGCAUGGAAAAAUGUCCAUGACAUAUUAUUGAGUGAAAACAGCUGGUUACACAACGGCGUGUAUAACAGGAUCGCACAGCUGUGCAGAAGGGCGCUUGUGGCAGUGCUAACUGUGGUCACCUGUGGGUGGUGGGGUUACAGGUGGCUCACUUCACAGGUAUGUUUUCCGAAUGUUGUUGAGCCCUUUCGGGAAAUGAAUGUGGGUUAUUUUCCAAUAAAAGAGCUAUUUUAUGGUGUGCCUUCUGGAGA